rnacentral:rRNA from 1 species
AUACGGAAGGUCCGGGCGUUAUCCGGAUUUAUUGGGUUUAAAGGGAGCGCAGGCGGAGAUGCAAGCGUGACGUCAAAUUUCGGGGCUCAACCCCGUCUCGCGUCGCGAACUGCGUCCCUUGGUUGCGGGAAGGGGAGGCGGAACUCGUGGUGUAGCGGUGAAACGCAUAGAUAUCACGAAGAACUCCGAUCGCGAAGGCAGCCUUCCGGCCCGUCAACGACGCUCAUGCUCGAAGGUGCGGGUAUCAAACAGGAUUAGAUACCCUGGUAGUCCGCACAGUAAACGAUGGACGCCCGCGGUUUGGCCUAUAUGGCUGAGCCGCCAAGCGAAAGCGUUAAGUGUCCCACCUGGGGAGUACGCCGGCAACGGUGAAACUCAAAGGAAUUGACGGGG